rnacentral:lncRNA from 1 species
GAUGAUGACUUAAUGAGCUGACAUGUGCACACAUGUGUACCCAUCAACCUAUAAUCUCACAGCUAGAUGAUGACUUAAUGAGCUGACAUGUGCAUGUCAUGUGUAUGGAUAUAUCCAUACAAACAUGCAUUAUAUAUAUCAAACCUGAAUAAACCUUUUGAUGUUUACUUAUUUGGAGGCCAGCACACAUGUGCCAUGUGCAGAGGUCAUAUGGCAGCUUGUGGGAAUCCAUCCCCUCUUGUAGGUACAAGUGAUUGAACUCAAGAUGGUUAGCUGGGUGGCAGGUGACUUCCCCUACUGAGCCAUUACAAUAGCCCUCAAAUAAGCCUGGUUUGGGAAUAUACAAGGAAUAGUUGCCAGUUUUUUACCUCCUAGAGAAUGAGACCAGACGGGGAUAGAAUCAGUGAGACUAAUUUAACUGGUUAAACUCUUGAAAAUCAAGACAAUGUAAGCUAGCUCUAUUUUCCAGUGCUCUUAGAUCUCCGGGGGAAUUGCCUUCUGAGAGUCUCUUAAGCAAUGAUGGUUGUAAUUUGCUGUGUGUGUAUUAUAUAUUUUACCUAGAGAAUUUGUUUCUAGUUCCAACUGAUCAUUUCCAUGCCACUUACAGAGAAAGUGGAAGGAGCAAAAACUGUUGUACUGACUGCCAUGAACUGACAGGUGCUCUUCUCCCUUUCAGAUGGAGCCACUCCAGAAGUCUCUAGAUAUAACCAGAGAGGACAACAGGAAACUGGCCUUGAGCCUAGAGCAAGCUCUCCAGACAAAUGGCCAUCUGCAGUCUAAGCUAGAUCACAUCCAAGAAAAACUGGAAAACAAAGAAGUUGAGCGGCAGAAUUUAGAAGCCUUCAAAGCUCGGGUGGCUGAGGAGUCGAAAGUAGAAGCAGAACUGCAUGCAGAGCGCAUUGAAGCGCUGAGAAAGCAGUUUCAGACUGAGAGAGAGACUUCGAAGAAAGCCGCACAGAGGGAAGUUUCUGAGCUGAAGAAAGCUCUUGACGAAGCCAACAUCAGAUCAGUGGAAGUGUCCCGGACAAACCGAGAGCUACGACAGAAACUUAUGGAGCUAGAAAAAGUAGUGAACAGUAACAAGGAGAAACUAAAGAAUCAAAAGGCCCAAAUAAAGCUGCACUUGUCAGCCAAGGCAAAUAAUGUGCAGAAUUUGGAGAGGAUGAAGCAAAUAGAAACAGAAUUGAGGCAGAUGGAGAUAAUUAAGGAUCAAUAUCAGAAAAAGAACUACGAACAGUCAUUGAGUAUCCAGAGAUUUGUAUCUGAAAUGAAUAACCUGCAGAAAGAGAUGGAGCUGUUAGCCAAGAGCCAAUAUGAAACCUCUGCACGGAAUAAACAGCAGGAGCUGAGACUAAUAGCUGAGCGGAAAAUGAGACAGGAGCUAGAAAAUCGGUGUGCGGAAUUUGAAGAAACUAUCAGACACCUGAAGAGGUGUAAAGAAGCAACAGAGAAUAAACUAAAAGAAGCCAGUGUGGAGUCAGAGCAGAUAACAGCUAAUCUGGAAGAAGCUCACCGAUGGUUUAAAUGCAGGUUCGAUGGCCUACAACUUGAGCUGACAAAAAACCGGUUGCAGAGGCUUCCCCGGGAAGACAGGUGGCCAGAAGAGGUGAGACUGACCUGGUUGUUGUAAAGAAGUUUGAAUUUUUCCUUCUCCAUUUCUCACUACAGAAGCCCUCUUAAUCAUCUAGCUGUUCAUCUAUAGGUUUCUUUCAACUACUGUUAGGAAACCAAUGGACUAGGUUUUUGUAGAAGUUUACCUUUCUCAAACUAU